GGGGCUGUAGCUCAAUUGGUAGAGCGCUUCCAUGGCAUGGAAGAGGUCGUCGGUUCGAUUCCGAUCAGCUCCA
rnacentral:tRNA from 3 species